ACUGUUACUGGCCGUGGUGGAGAAUGCAUAACAGGAACAGGUGGUGACCCUGAAGCCUUCGGCACCCUCUUAUGCUUAAACUUCGGAGGCUCAAGUGGGUCCACUGGCAUUUCCACCAUCCUUAUAAUCCUCUCCUUCGCACCUGAAUUAAAGGCUGCAGACUGCUGUGAUGGCUUAUACUUUAUAAACUUUGAGUCAGUGGAUUGCGUUGGGACAUUCUUGGGCUGCGCAGCACUCAACCUCACAUUCACGAU
rnacentral:lncRNA from 1 species